AGGAUGAACGCUGGCGGCGUGCCUAACACAUGCAAGUCGAACGGACCCUUCGGGGUUAGUGGCGCACGGGUGAGGAACACGUAGCUUACCUGCCCUUUACACUGAGAUAACUCUGCGAAAGCAGAGCUAAUAUCGGAUAAGCUCACGAGGAACAGUAUCCUAGUGAGAAAAGCUCCGGCGGUAAAGGAGGGGGCUGCGGCCCAUCAGCUAGUUGGUGAGGUAACGGCUCACCAAGGCGACGAC
rnacentral:rRNA from 1 species